rnacentral:rRNA from 1 species
GACGAACGCUGGCGGCGUGCUUAACACAUGCAAGUCGACCGCGCUACUGAGUAUUAAUAUUUAGUAGUGGAGUGGCGCAAGGGUGAGUACUUUAUACGUAACCAACCCAUCGGGGACGGAUAACAUUUCGAAAGGGAUGCUAAACCGGCAUGAAGCCACGGUUUCGCAUGCGACUGUGGUUAAAGAACCGGUAACAGGUUGCCGAUGGCUGGGCGUAUAUCCGAUUAGAUAGUUGGUAGUGUAAUGGACUACCAAGGCGACGAUCGGUAGCUGGUCUGAGAGGAUGAGCACUGACACUGGCACUGAGACACGGACCAGUCUCCUACGGGACGGAGCAGUAUGGAAGAUUAGGCAAGGCACGCAAGUGUUACCCAGCAACGCCGGGUGGAGAAUGAAGGCGGUAAGGAUGUAAACUCUGUCAAGCAGAGAAGAAAUGCUAUGGUAAAAGGCCAUAGUGACGCUAUACCUGCCAGAAGCCCCGGCUAACUACGUG